rnacentral:rRNA from 1 species
ACGUAGGAGGCGAGCGUUAUCCGGAUUUACUGGGUGUAAAGCGCGUGCAGGCGGUUCUGCAAGUGGGACGUGAAAGCGCCCGGCUUAACCGGGAGAGGACGUGCGAGACUGUCGGACUAGAGGCAGGUAGAGGCAAGUGGAAUUCCGGGUGUAGUGGUGAAAUGCGUAGAGAUCCGGAGGAACCCCGGUGGCGAAGGCGACUUGCUGGGCCUGAACUGACGCUCAGACGCGAAAGCAUGGGGAGCGAACGG